ACGGCUCAAGUUUCUAGCUAUCGUAUAAAGGUAUCUAACUCUGAAUACAUAGGGGUUAGAAGCGAACCUGGGGAACUGAAACAUCUAAGUACCCAGAGGAAAGGACAUCAAACGAGACUCCGCUAGUAGUGGCGAGCGAACGCGUACCAGGCCAGUGGCUUUUGUGAAUGAAGUGGAACGAGUUGGAAAACUCGACCGAAGUGGGUGAUAGUCCCGUACACGUAGAAUAGCAGAAGUCCUUGAGUAGGGCGGGACACGUGAAAUCCUGUCUGAACAUGGGUCGACCACGAUCCAAGCCUAAGUACUCGUGCAUGACCGAUAGCGAACCAGUACCGUGAGGGAAAGGUGAAAAGCACCCCGACGAGGGGAGUGAAACAGUACCUGAAACCGGAUGCCUACAAACAGUUGGAGCCCAAGGUUCGUCCUGGGUGACAGCGUACCUUUUGUAUAAUGGGUCAGCGACUUAGUGUAUCGAGCAAGCUUAAGCCGGUAGGUGUAGGCGCAGCGAAAGCGAGUCUGAACAGGGCGUUCAGUUCGAUGCAUUAGACCCGAAACCAAGUGAUCUAGCCAUGAGCAGGUUGAAGGUACGGUAACACGUACUGGAGGACCGAACCCAUAUCUGUUGCAAUAGAUCGGGAUGACUUGUGGCUAGGGGUGAAAGGCCAAUCAAACUUGGAGAUAGCUGGUUCUCCGCGAAAUCUAUUUAGGUAGAGCGUCGACCGAAUACCCCCGGGGGUAGAGCACUGGAUGGGCUAUGGGGACUCACCGUCUUACUGAUCCUAACCAAACUCCGAAUACCGGGGAGUACUAGUCGGCAGACACACGGCGGGUGCUAACGUCCGUCGUGGAGAGGGCAACAACCCUGACCACCAUCUAAAGGUCCCUAAGUUAUGGCUAAGUGGGAAGGGAUGUGAGGAUCCCAAACAACCCAGGAUGUGGGCAUAGAAGCAGCCGAUCAUGUAAGAAAGCGUGACAAGCUCACUGGUCCUCACAUAAGGUCUUUUGCAGCCGGAAAAUGUAACCGGGGGG
rnacentral:rRNA from 2 species